AUACUUACCUGGACGGGGUUAAUGGGUGAUCAAGAAGGCCCAUGGCCUAGGUUGGCGACCUUCAUUGCACUGAAAGGAGGGGUGCCACCCUAACAUCUCCUCAAGUGGGAGAGUGUACGUCAUAAUUUGUGAUAGCGGGGUACGCGUUCGCGCGGCCCCUA
rnacentral:snRNA from 1 species